UACGUAGGGUGCAAGCGUUAAUCGGAAUUACUGGGCGUAAAGCGUGCGCAGGCGGUCUGCUAAGAGAGAUGUGAAAUCCCCGGGCUUAACCUGGGAACUGCGUUUCUAACUGGCAGGCUUGAGUGUGGCAGAGGGGGGUGGAAUUCCACGUGUAGCAGUGAAAUGCGUAGAGAUGUGGAGGAACACCGGUGGCGAAGGCGGCAUCCUGGACCGGCAUUGACGCUGAGGAGCGAAAGCCAGGGGAGCAAACGGG
rnacentral:rRNA from 1 species